UGUAUUGAAAUUUUCGAAAUCUCUCUCUCGAAGCCUCUCUCUCGGCGACUGAAGAGGCGAAGGGAGAACCAGGUUCUCUCGCCGGCAGGACCGCCGUUCUUCCUUAGCUCCGGUGGCCUUGUUGGCCUCGGAGGUGAGGGGAACGGUUGGUUCUUUGCCCGGCGAUGUAGAUUAGGUCCCUCUAGGGGUAGGGUUUGGUGUCCCGGUGGCGCGUGCGAGGUGGAGGCGGCGUCACCACAGUGGAAUAAUGUCCUCCGGCCCUCUCUCCACUUCGUCGACUCUGUCUCCGGGGCCGGCGAUGGGCUUGUGAGGUUGGGGUGCGCCGGGUGUGGAAACCGAGUUGGAGUUCCCCAUCUGCGCACACCCUGUACAGGAGUCCUCUACCGGUUCUUGGCGGAGGUCCAGGUUCUUGUUUCUUCCUCUUCGUUGGCCAGUUUGCUGGUUGUUUUUCUUUGCUUGCUGCUGCUGUGGAUUGGAUCGGCUGGGCAAGAGAUGGCGAGCGGAAGUGCCAGAUCGACGAAUCCGACGGUUGAUGCGUGGUUACGGAGGAUGUGCUGCAGCUUACCAAAGUUUGGUGUCCGUUUCUCGUUCUGGGGAACUGAUGGCGGAGGUUUGUCGGUUCGAUGUGCUCGGCUGCGAGUGGAAGAGCACCAGCGCCUUGGUCAGACGAGGAAGAAGAACAGAUGCCUUAGUUCGGACCGGGUUGUAAUUUCUAUUUUCUUUAAGAGAGAGAGAGAGACGGGUCAGGGUGGGAGCAGCAACAGGGAGUACAUGAACCGGUGAGGAUCACUGUCUGCCAUCAAGCUAUCCGCCUGCUAACCACCCGUCAUUACUCGCUGACACCGACACUCGACGCCGAUUGCGUACGGUUGGAGUUGGCGGUAUCUGCCUCCAUCCCUUGCGUGCUUGCCGUGGCAGCCGUGCACGGUUGCCGCAGGGCGCAGGUGAACUGGACCUCGUCGGCCGGCCGGCCUGAGGCUGAGAGGCCGCCGGCAGGCGGCAGCUGGGCAACCGGAUGACGGAGAGGCCAAGCUCUGGCGCCUGAGGCGAUUGCUGACGCUGCACGCUUCGGCGUGUGGCUGAAAUUUCGCUGCUUGGGUAGCAGCUAUUGUAAUCCGCCGAUUGGCUUACUCCUCAGUAGUCAGUACUGUAUACUACUACGCUGCUACUAUUUCAUCACAGA